rnacentral:rRNA from 1 species
AGAGUUUGAUCCUGGCUCAGGACGAACGCUGGCGGCGGGCCUAAUACAUGCAAGUCGAACGCAGUCGACCUUCGGGUCAUAUGACUGAGUGGCGAACGGGUGAGUAACACGUGAGAAACCUGCCCCGAAGACUGGAAUAACCCGAGGAAACUCGGGCUAAUACCGGAUGUCCCCACCGGAUCGCAUGGUCUGGUGAGGAAAUGCUCCGGCGCUUCGGGAGGGUCUCGCGGCCUAUCAGCUAGUUGGUGAGGUAACGGCUCACCAAGGCAUCGACGGGUAGCUGGUCUGAGAGGACGAUCAGCCACACUGGGACUGAGACACGGCCCAGACUCCUACGGGAGGCAGCAGUGGGGAAUCUUGCGCAAUGGGCGAAAGCCUGACGCAGCCACGCCGCGUGAGGGAUGAAGGCUUUCGGGUUGUAAACCUCUUUCAGCAGGGACGAAAAUGACGGUACCUGCAGAAGAAGCCCCGGCCAACUACGUGCCAGCAGCCGCGGUAACACGUAGGGGGCGAGCGUUGUCCGGAUUUAUUGGGCGUAAAGAGCUCGUAGGCGGUUCAGUAAGUCGGGUGUGAAAACUUGAGGCUCAACCUCAAGAGGCCACUCGAUACUGCUGUGACUUGAGUCCGGUAGAGGAGUGUGGAAUUCCUGGUGUAGCGGUGAAAUGCGCAGAUAUCAGGAGGAACACCGACAGCGAAGGCAGCACUCUGGGCCGGUACUGACGCUGAGGAGCGAAAGCGUGGGGAGCGAACAGGAUUAGAUACCCUGGUAGUCCACGCCGUAAACGUUGGGCACUAGGUGUGGGAUCUAACUAACCGAUUCCGUGCCGUAGCUAACGCAUUAAGUGCCCCGCCUGGGGAGUACGGCCGCAAGGCUAAAACUCAAAGGAAUUGACGGGGGC